GACGAGGGGUCCUAGCGUUGUUCGGAAUCAUUGGGCGUAAAGCGGGUGUAGGUGGCUUUGUAAGUCAGAAGUGAAAUCCCCGAGCUUAACUUGGGAAGUGCUUUUGAAACUGCAGAGCUUGAAUGUGGGAGAGGAUCGUGGAAUUCCAGGUGUAGUGGUGAAAUACGUAGAUAUCUGGAGGAACACCGGUGGCGAAGGCGGCGAUCUGGCCCAACAUUGACACUGAGACCCGAAAGCGUGGGGAUCAAACAGG
rnacentral:rRNA from 1 species